GGGACAGUAGCUCAGGUGGUUAGAGUACGUCCCUGAUAAGGACGGGGUCGAAGGUUCGAGUCCUUCCUGUCCCACCA
rnacentral:tRNA from 1 species